AUUGAACGCUGGCGGCAGGCCUAACACAUGCAAGUCGAGCGGAGCGGCGGACGGGUGAGGAAUGCGUAGGAAUCUGCCUGGUAGUGGGGGAUAACGUCCGGAAACGGGCGCUAAUACCGCAUACUCUCAGAUGAGCCUAGGUAGGAUUAGCUAGUUGGUGGGGUAAAGGCCUACCAAGGCGACGAUCCGUAACUGGACUGAGAGGAUGAUCAGUCACACUGGAACUGAGACCCGGUCCAUGAUCCUCCGCGCGGCAGCAGUGGUGAAUAUUGGGCAAUGGGCGAAAGCCUGAUCCAGCCAUGCCGCGUGUGUGGAGCAGGUCUUCGGAUUGUAAAGCACUUUAAGUUGGUAGGCGUUACCAACAGAAUAAGCACCGGCUAACUUCGUGCCAGCCGCCGCGGUAAUAC
rnacentral:rRNA from 1 species